AAUGAUAGAGGAGCGGAAUUCAUCAGUAGUCCGGGAGACAUGGUAUGACACCCAUCCGGAGAAAGGGGAAACCGCCGAAGGAAUCUGACAAGUCAGGAGGUGGAUUCCUGGGACGUCGCAGAAUAUGCGCCGUACUGUCACCUGGGUGAAGCGCUAUCGGAU
rnacentral:ncRNA from 1 species